rnacentral:rRNA from 1 species
GGCGUCCGAGUUGUAAUCUAGAGAAGUGUUUUCCGUGUCGGACCGUGCACAAGUUCCUGGAACGGGGCGUCAUAGAGGGUGAGAAUCCCGUACGUGGCACGGACUCCCGGUGCUCUGCGAUACACUCUCAACGAGUCGAGUUGUUUGGGAAUGCAGCUCAAAAUGGGUGGUAAAUUCCAUCUAAAGCUAAAUAUUGGCGAGAGACCGAUAGCGAACAAGUACCGUGAGGGAAAGAUGAAAAGCACUUUGGAAAGAGAGUGAAACAGUACGUGAAAUUGUUGAAAGGGAAGCGUUUGAAGUCAGUCGCGUCUGUCGGGGUUCAGCCUGGCUUCUGCCUGGUGUAUUCCCUGUCCGACGGGUCAGCAUCAGUUUCUGCCGAGAGAGAAAGGCUUGGGGAAUGUGGCCAUCUUCGGGUGGUGUUAUAGCCCUUUGUCAUAUGUCUCGGUGGGGACUGAGGACUGCAGCGCGCCUUACGGCCGGGGUUCGCCCUCGGUACGCGCUUAGGAUGCUGGCAUAAUGGCUUUAAGCGACCCGUCUUGAAACACGGACCAAGGAGUCUAACAUGUGCGCGAGUGUUUGGGUGUCAAACCCGAGCGCGUAAUGAAAGUGAAAGGUCGGGAUCACGUACGUGUGCACCGACGCCCGGAGCAGACCUACUGUGACGCAUCUGCGGUGGAGCGUAUAUGUUGGGACCCGAAAGAUGGUGAACUAUGCCUGA